GUGGGGCUAGCUCAGUCGGUAGAGCACGAGACUCUUAAUCUCAGGGUCGUGGGUUCAUGCGCCACA
rnacentral:tRNA from 1 species